GAUGAACGCUGGCGGCGUGCCUAAUACAUGCAAGUCGAGCGAACGGACGAGAAGCUUGCUUCUCUGAUGUUAGCGGCGGACGGGUGAGUAACACGUGGAUAACCUACCUAUAAGACUGGGAUAACUUCGGGAAACCGGAGCUAAUACCGGAUAAUAUUUUGAACCGCAUGGUUCAAAAGUGAAAGACGGUCUUGCUGUCACUUAUAGAUGGAUCCGCGCUGCAUUAGCUAGUUGGUAAGGUAACGGCUUACCAAGGCAACGAUGCAUAGCCGACCUGAGAGGGUGAUCGGCCACACUGGAGCUGAGACACGGUCCAGACUCCGACGGGAGGCAGCAGUAGCGAAGCUUGCGCAAUGGGCGAAAGCCUGACGGAGCAACGCCGCGUGAGUGAUGAAGGUCUUCGGAUCGUAAAACUCUGUUAUUAGGGAAGAACAUAUGUGUAAGUAACUGUGCACAUCUUGACGGUACCGAAUCAGAAAGCCACGGCUAACUACGUG
rnacentral:rRNA from 1 species